rnacentral:rRNA from 1 species
GGGGUAUAGCCUUUAGAAAUGAAGAUUAAUCCCCCAUAGUCUCUUAGAGUGGCAUCACUUCUAGAGUAAAGGUUACGGUAUAAGAUGAGUAUGCGUUCUAUUAGUUUGUUGGUGUGGUAACGGCACACCAAGACUACGAUAGAUAGGGGCCCUGAGAGGGGGAUCCCCCACACUGGUACUGAGACACGGACCAGACUCCUACGGGAGGCAGCAGUGAGGAAUAUUGGACAAUGGAGGCAACUCUGAUCCAGCCAUGCCGCGUGCAGGAAGACUGCCCUAUGGGUUGUAAACUGCUUUUAUACAGGAAGAAACACCUCUACGUGUAGAGGCUUGACGGUACUGUAAGAAUAAGGAUC